GAUGAACGCUAGCUACAGGCUUAACACAUGCAAGUCGAGGGGAAACGGCAUUGAGUGCUUGCACUCUUUGGACGUCGACCGGCGCACGGGUGAGUAACGCGUAUCCAACCUUCCCAUUACUGUGGGAUAACCUGCCGAAAGGCAGACUAAUACCGCAUAGUCUUCGAUGACGGCAUCAGAUUUGAAGUAAAGAUUUAUCGGUAAUGGAUGGGGAUGCGUCUGAUUAGCUUGUUGGCGGGGUAACGGCCCACCAAGGCAACGAUCAGUAGGGGUUCUGAGAGGAAGGUCCCCCACAUUGGAACUGAGACACGGUCCAAACUCCUACGGGAGGCAGCAGUGAGGAAUAUUGGUCAAUGGACGGAAGUCUGAACCAGCCAAGUAGCGUGCAGGAUGACGGCCCUAUGGGUUGUAAACUGCUUUUGUAUGGGGAUAAAGUUAGGGACGUGUCCCUAUUUGCAGGUACCAUACGAAUAAGGACCGGCUAAUUCCGUGCCAGCAGCCGCGGUAAUACGGAAGGUCCAGGCGCUAUCCGGAUUUAUUGGGUUUAAAGGGAGCGUAGGCUGGAGAUUAAGUGUGUUGUGAAAUGUAGACGCUCAACGUCUGAAUUGCAGCGCAUACUGGUUUCCUUGAGUACGCACAACGUUGGCGGAAUUCGUCGUGUAGCGGUGAAAUGCUUAGAUAUGACGAAGAACUCCGAUUGCGAAGGCGGCUGACGGGAGCGCAACUGACGCUUAAGCUCGAAGGUGCGGGUAUCAAACAGG
rnacentral:rRNA from 1 species